UUCACAUCCGGGAAGGAAAGGGGAAUGUCACGUUUCUAAAAGCUUGUUUUUAUAUGAGUUUGGUGUUUUAUGGAGAACAAGAGAUGGAAUGUCAUCAGAUUUAUGACUUACCGACUCUGAUUUGAGGUGAACAGCUUGCGUAAAUAGAGUUUUAUCUCCAUAUACCAGCUAGAGAGAUGUAUGACACACCAGUCAGCCUGCAAAACUGCUGCGUUGAUUUUAUAUGUGACAAUUUGUCAACGCUAUGCUUGGCCUCAGCUGAAACCCCACUAAAACUUGCAUUCAAAGAUUCAGAUGUGUAUUUCCAUGGGGACCUUUCGGAGCAGCUACUACACAGUCUGUGUGAGAAAGGAAAGCUAACGGAUGAAACACUGAGUUUAUUUGAUCCAAAUGUCACCAAUCUGAAACGUGUUUGUAUACACGACGCACAACUGACCACCAAAGGUCUGAGGACGUUAAAAACACAUCGUAUUUCAGAAUUGGAAAUCACAGGACUUAAGAGUGUAACGGUGAACGAUGCAAUAGGAUGUCUAGGAGAGUGGGCUUUGUGUAAUUUACGAUCUCUGAAUGUUUGCAAUAGUACAUUUCUGAACAGUACAAAAUUCUGUGUGGUUGUUUCUUUGUCGAAGUUGAGAAAUCUGCACAGUUUGAAUGUAAGUCGAACUGAAUUCAACAAGCAUGGCCUGGAGAUUAUAGCAGAGGACUUGCCAUGCUUAGAGAGCUUGGACAUCUCAUGCACACAGAUAAAUGAUAUUUCACCACUCAGGAAAUGUAGAGACCGGUUAAAAUCUCUGUCAAUGUACAAUUUACGGGCGGCCAACAAAGAUGAUGUGGUUCCUGUAUUGUAUGACCUUACCAAGCUUGUCCACCUGGAUGUGUCCGAUGAUUCUGUGAUAACUCCAGUCCAGCAUACUUUCAUGGGCGGUGAUUCGCAUGCUAAAUUCCCAAUACAGGAUCUUUUGGAAAAAUCUAACUGUCUGCCAUACUUGACCUCUCUGGAUAUCUCAGGAAAAGAGGGAGCUGCUGAAAAUACAUUGAGGAGGUUUCUAUCUGAACACAAAAAUAUAAAAUUCCUUGGAUUGGCACGGACCACGUAUUGUGAGAUGCCGAUGUUCUGUGAUGACGACCGUGCCGAUUUCUCCUGUGAUAUUGUGAUAAGUGGUGACGCUAAUGAACGACAGGUUCUUGAGGCUCUGAGGCGAUACGUCCAGCGUGUUGUGUAUGUACAGAAGUCACUGUACACGCUGUUUAGACUUACACAGGCCAUGGAAGAGCCUAGAGAAGACAUUGUCAGGCUUGUCCUGCCAGCGAUGAAGAGCCACCCUAAACAGUUAGGGGUACAAAUGGCAGCCACAGCCUGUCUGUACAACCUGUCCAAGGGCGACAUAGGCAACAAAGUCCACCCGUCUUGUCUCAAGCAUGUGGUCAACUUGACCUUGCUGUCCAUGGAUAAUUUUCCCAAUCACCAACAACUUCAGAAGAAUGCUCUCCUCACCUUGUGUAGUGACAGGAUCCUACAAGAUGUGUCCUUUGACCGUUAUCGCUGUGCCAAGCUGGUGAUGGAAUGCCUUUGUCAGUUUGAUGAUCCUUCCAUGAAUCGUAUGUCUGUUGCCAUCUGCUCAAUUCUUGCUGCCAAAAUCUCCACAAGCCAGACAUCUCUUUUGGGAGCAAAGACCAAGUACAUGCAGAAAAUGCUGGAUCUAGUCCGACUGAAAGUACAGGCCCGGUCCAUAGAUAUCACCCUCAAGUUCACUCUCAGUGCUCUGUGGAAUUUGACAGACGAAUCUCCUCCUACCUGCCGUGUUUUUCUCAAAGAGAAAGGACUGGACCUGUUUAUGGACACCCUAAUGGUUGUAAUGGAUAUGGAGAGAGAUGUUAGGGUCCAAGUGGAGACAAAGAUACUAGGACUUCUGAAUAAUAUUGCUGAAGUUCGAGAACUGAGAGGAUUCCUGAUGCGGACCGAUUCCUUAAUCUUGUUGAAGAAACUGAUGCAUGCAGAGCAGAUUGACGUGAGUUACUUUGCCGCAGGAAUCAUUGCUAACUUGGCUAGCGAUGGUGCAGAGGCCUGGCUCGUGUCCUCCACAGACCGCGAGGAGAUCCUCGGAGAGCUGGGAGAAGUUGUUUUAAAAUGGGAGCAGCCUAAAGGUGAAAUGGUAGCCUACAGGUCCUUCAAACCGUUCUUUCCACUAUUGCGAUGUUUCUCGGUGCCAACAGUACAGCUCUGGGCCGUCUGGGCUAUACAGCAUGUCUGUACGAAAAAUGGGGAUCGCUACUGUUUGAUGUUAGAAGAGGAGGGCGGGUCAGAAAUUCUCCAGCAGCUGAUUGAAAAUCCAGAGACCAACAGCGAUGUAGCAGCCAUUUCAAUAAACAUAAUAGAACUUAGCAUAGAAAAACGAGGAAACCAAUGAUGGGACAGGCUUUUAAAACAGGAACUCUUUCUUUGUCCUUCACUCAUCUUCAUAUGACAUACAAGUUUAACAUAUAUAUUAGCAGAAUACCUGAGCAAAUCCCUUACAAUUAGGAAUCUUGUAGGAUUGGUACCUAAUUCUGUCUGUAUGUAGUUUCUGUAAAAUUGUAAAUCCUGAAAAUCAUUCAAUAAUACAAGUCAAAUAUAAAUAGACAUCCAGCAGUGUGGCCUGUAUAAAAUUUAUGGUUUCUAGAGAAGGGGCCAAUGCCGAAGCAGGGAUUGUUUACUAAACUAUUCUUAUCUCAAAAAGUGCAAUUUAGUUUAUAACUUAUGUAGUUGAUAUGAACGUUAAGUAAGUAUUAAUUUUGACAACAUUUUGGCCUGGUCCUACGUAAGCCCUAAUAGAAUCGCAUACUACGACAAAGAUUCCCCAAAAUCUUAAAGUAAGAAAUAUUUGUUUCAUUUAUAGUUACAAAAUAUGCUUACCUGGUUUUUCAGUUAAAUCUCACAGUAUAGAAUGAUAUUUGAUUUUAUAUAUAAUGUACUGAUGAACUGUGAGUUAAAAUUUUACAAAAUUCACUGGUCUGUGUAAAAUAGUUAAUUAACACAGGAAGCGACUUGGAUUUUCUCCCAUUAUUCUGGAUAUAGACUCUAAGAAAUGUGUGUUUUUUCCGGGUCAUGUAUAAAGGUGAAUGAGAGCGGUGAACAGUUCCUCGUUUCAAAUUGGCGGUGGAUGUUUGGAACAUUCCACCAAUGUCUUGAUUUACUUUCAGUUUGUUUAGAGCUACAGCGUUUCCAGUAUAACAGAAUGUUAAUGUGAUGUUGUUGAUCGGCACACCAGCUUACUAGUCAGGCUUUUUGAAAUUGUGCCAACAAAUUGACUAAUGUUUUCACAAGUAACGUGGCAUCUGACAAAAGGCCUCGGUAUAUACCCAGUUGCUCUUUAUUAAGUGUUUUUAUUUUCUGAUCCCAUGUUACCUAGGAAAGCUGAGGGUUUCAGCUUGCAUAACAAAAUGUGUUGAAGGCUUGUUUAUUAGGAUAUAUGUGGCACACGUAACGUACCAGUAUCUUACUAACACCUAAACCUUGAUAUGUUUCCAAGGAUUUGGUACUUUGUUAAAUUGGAUGUUGCAAGUUUGUUAAGAUGUUGUUACCAGUGCUACUGUUUUGUAAUUGGAAAUAUUGUAAGCAUUGUAAGCUUAAUUGGAAAUAUUGUAAGCUUAAUUGGAAAUAUUAUAAGCUUUAACAAUGUAUAGGAUUUUAAAAAACAAACAGAUUUGACAAUUUGAUAUACCCGGUACAUACUUAUAAAACAUAUAAUAUCAUUCUGUCAUGAACAUUAAAUAAAAAAAAUAAAAAAAGGAUGAAGCAUGAAAAAACAUUUGCUUUAAUUUAUAGUUAUAUUACUUUUGAAAGGAGAAAUACAAAAAUAUGUGUGUUUCCAGUAACAGCUUGGGAGAGUAAGCAAGGAUAGGCUCGCAAAUAUUUUCAUUUUAAAAGUUCCUUGUUUGGCUUAAGAAUUUUUUUUUAAGAAAACAUUGUAAAGAUAUGGUCAAAAUGUGAUCUCCAUGCAUCCUUAUAUAUAAUUGAAAUAUUGUAACUUACAAAACAAAUAAGUAUAUAAAGACAUAUCAGAUGGAUCCCACAAUACCAAUCCUUUUGAUCAACAUGAAUGAAAAAUUGUUCUGCUAUGACUGAUUUUGCUACAAAAUGUGUAUUUUAUAGUGAUUUAUAUAUGAAAUUGGGGUUCAUUAAAUCAUCAAAAUCCAUGCUUGUGUAAACCAUAUCCAUCCCAAUAAGUGUCCUGGGUGCCUAGCAAUGUGUGAAGAUAAUGAGGAUUGUAACACCUUCCAAAAGUCAGAGAAAAAGAAAAAACAUAUAGAUUCUAUUUUUUCUUUUUCUUAACAAGAAAAUCUGUAAAUUAUGGUCAAAAGAAGAAACAAACCUGCAGAAGUUUAGGGGACACUUACAAAAAAGAUGGGGAGGGGGUGGUAUUAGGUUUAAUGUGUCUGGUUUUAGUCCUUUUUGCAAAAGCACACUGUGCAUGAUAAGAAUUUCUUUCGUUAAUAUAUCAUUGCUGAGGAUAUAUCGCAUUAAAACUGACAUAAAUACUUUCAGGGUAGUGUCAUACAUUUAGGGUAGGUAAUGUAGGGUUAUCAGAGACAGGGUUUUUUAAGGCCUAAGAUUGAUUGAACUAAAAAUGUUAUAAACAAUUGCCAUAUGAUAAAUACCUCUGAGUGUUAACAGUUUUACUAAUGUUUAUAUGUAUCGAUGUAAGACUGGUGUAAACGUGAUCAGGGAUUUUUGUUGAUUUAUUUCAGUUUUAGUUAUCUGUGUUUUAGUUGUACAUCUGUGUACAGUAUUAACAAUUGUGUUUUAUCAGCUGUUGGUAAGUGUCUAUAAACUCAUAAUCAAUAUGUAAUAUAUUUGUAAGAAAAACUUUGAAUGAUAUAUAUACCUGUCCCACAAAUAAAAAGAAAAUUUAAAUCAAAUGCAGUUUUAUAUAUACAUAUGUAUAUGUACCUGUAUUGGGUUGUUUUUUUCCCCAACUUGGAAAUGAAGUUUUACUAUGGCCUAGAUGUUGAUGUGUAGACAUACCAUCAGUGGAACAAUGAGAAAGAUUACAACAAUGAACCAUCAGUGGAACAAUGAGAAAGAUUACAACAAUGAACCAUCAGUGGAACAAUGAGAAAGAUUACAACAAUGAACCAUCAGUGGAACAAUGAGAAAGAUUACAACAAUGAACCAUCAGUGGAACAAUGAGAAAGAUUACAACAAUGAACCAUCAGUGGAACAAUGAGAAAGAUUACAACAAUGAACCAUCAGUGGAACAAUGAGAAAGAUUACAACAAUGAACCAUCAGUGGAACAAUGAGAAAGAUUACAACAAUUAACAAAACAACAAACAAGGAGAAACACUGAACAAAUAAGGAGCACAGAUAUACUGGGUACUUGUGUUGAUCAAAGUUUCCUUUUUUCAGGGGAGGUAAUUAUAAUAUAAGGAGCACAGAUAUACUGGGUACUUGUGUUGAUCCAAGUUCACUUUUUCAGGGGAGGUCAUUAUAAUAUAAGGAACACAGAUAUACUGGGUAUUUGUGUUGAUCAAAGUUCACUUUUUCAGGGGAGGUAAUUAUAAUAUAAGGAGCACAGAUAUACUGGGUACUUGUGUUGAUCAAAGUUCACUUUAUCAGGGGAGGUAAUUAUAAUAUAAGGAGAACAGAUAUACUGGGUACUUUUGUUGAUCCAAGUUCACUUUUUCAGGGGAGGUAAUUAUAAUAUAAAUAGACAACAUACAAAGAGUUUUGAUUAAAUCAUUAAGCGUAAAAUUAAACUGGCAGUCUUCUUUUUUUAAAUGAAGUUCUUGCAAAACAUCUUGAGACUUUAAUGUUUGUGCUUUGUCUUCAAAUAGUUGCAUCAAUGCAUUUAAGAGUUUUUAAAAGUUCUACAAAAUGUCUUUGUUUGAAAAAAAAUCAUUUACUUUUCAUUGAGCAAUUCAUGGUUUUAAUUAUGUCAGCUGUGAUUAUUAUACAGUGAAAGUAUGGGUUUGAGGGAUAUAGCAAGUUUCUUGUUCCGGAGACCACAUAUGAUUGUUGGCAACCAGAAACUUGCUGGAUUUCAAACUCCUAUAUUUAAAUUGUUUCUUCAUACUAAUGCAAAAUGCAAGUCAUUGUUUAUAAAGCAAAUUCCAGCUUCAAUUUCUGAAAACCUUUGAAAAGCCCUGUCUAAACGUUGGGGUAAAGUCAAUCUCUGCCUACCUCUCAUCAUUAGGUUUGUCAUUUCUGUGAGGAAGUUACAGAAAUUGCCAAGGAUAUUAAUUUGCAUCUUUAAACUCUUGAGAGAGUGAGUCUGUACCCCCAGCAACUUCCAAGGGAGGUAGUCAGCAGAGGUGUUUUAGUUUUUGGACUAACACAUGGUUGAUAUAGGACUAAUGCCCUAGACAGUAAAGUCAAAAGUUGGGAAAUCAUAAAGUAAAUUUAACUAAUUACUUUAAUAUCACAUGAAUAAAAUAAAUAUAUCAAUAUUUGUUACAUAUACUAUAUAUGACCUGAUAAAGGAUAUUGAGAUACAUGAUCAAAUUCUAUUCAGUUGCUGCCUUUAAUAAGACGGCAAAAUAUAUUGGUUUGUUAUGUUGUUGUAAUUAAUAAGAUAUUAUUGGCCAACAUUUGUUAUCAGUAUAAUAAUCAUAUACCUUAUAUGUAUUAGUCUGUGUAAAUGUGUUAACAUUUUUGGAAUGUAAAGAAUUGUUUGUCAAAUGUAGAUUAUUAUUAUAUACUAAUGUUAUUGCAUGGUUGAAAGUUCUAUCUUGUUUUGAGUAAUUGUGUUGUUGUGUUAAUGUUUUUAAAAAAAAAAUCUAUUUUGUCAUCUGAAGUCCGUAACAACUAUGUAGUAUGUGUGGUUGAUGUUUAAAGUCUUCAUGACUUGUUGUCUUAACUAAUCCAUGUUUUGGUUUUGUAAAGCAUUGUUUUUAUGAUUGAUUGGCCAGUUUGAUUAGGUAGAAUGGCAUAUUUCUUCACCUCUUUGGUAUAGUACAAUAGCCGUUGAGGUCAAGGUUAGUGUUUCUUUAGAGGUCGUAUUUUGACCUUGACAUUUAAAAAGAUAUUAAACCCCAAAGUAGCACUGGUCAUGGUUUGUGUUUCUUGUAAAAAGAGAUUACUGUAUUCACUGUUAUUAGUGUUCAAAGUGCCAAAAGAAUUUACAGAAAGUGGGGUGUUUAUCGGGUAUUAAGGUCAUCAGUUAUGUCGGUAAAGAGUUUAGUGUGAAUAGGAGACCUUACUGUCAUAUCUGUCGACUACUGAAUGUAGAUUUUCUACCACUUUUUCAACCUGACUCCUGUCUGUUAUAUGAGUAAAUAUGAAACUUCAUCUACAGGGCAAUCAGGAUGGGGUUCGGGGGCAUAUAAAUCAUGUCAUUAAGUGCAGAAAAUGGGGAGGAAGGCUAAUUAUAGCAAAGACGGUAGAAGGUACAAGAUUAACAUCCAGUUUAGCAUUUGUCUUAAAGUCAUAGAUCAUCAUCAAUGCUUGUUUGGGGUUAAAGGUGCAAAGGUCAUUGCAUUGUUGAGUGGAAGGUCAAGGUCAAUGCUUUUUUCUGUGAUCAUGGGUAGGACUUUGUGUUCCAAAGACUGUUAAUGGAAUGUAGUUUACAAUAUGACAUGUAAUAUUUGCCUCGCUAAAAUUUCGUCUUCUGGUGUUUAGAAACAAUUAACCCAGUGUUUAAUUUACCCAUGACUAGUAACUAUGUAUUCACUCAUAUGUAUAAUAGGUUUGUCCUGCUUAGAAUUAUUCUCUUAUUCAGGAGAAAAAUUAGGCCAGACGUUUCCACUUCACAGUGCUGUCUUUCUACUCGAGAGAUUGCCUAUACAAGGUACAUUAUUAUGUUUAGUUUUUUAUCUGGGUACUUAAAACAUAUCCAGGCCUCUUGUUAUCUGGGUUAAAUGUUUCAUCAAGAGAUUUGUCAUACUGUAGAAUGAUAGUCCACUUGAAUAUCUUUGCACUUUUUUUGUGAUAGUGUUUAUGUAUAUCAUUAAAGAUGUGAAAUAUGUUCUAAAUAUCUUAGAUAGCUUUCCUUUAUAGAACUUUGUGAACCAAUUAACUUUGGUAAAACAGAUUAUUGGAGUAUAUACUAUUAUAUUGUAAUAACAUUUGUCAAAACUAAAUAUACCUCAACUGGUAAAAUGAUUGUCUUUCUUUUCUUCACUUUACAGUCAAUUUGAAGGAUCCCUAUCCCAUUGCUAACAAAACAUUUGAGAAUUUCUUGGUUUGUAUUUUUGUUUACACAGUAACCUCCCCUUAAUUUUAUUUAGAAUACACCUGUAGCACAACGAGGUCCGGGUACUUCUGUCCGCUUGGUAGCUCAGCUGGUUAGAGUGACAGAUAUGAUUGGAGGUCCAGGGUUUGAUUCCCGGAUUGGCACUAUUGUGUUUUUACGCUCAGAACAAUGGUGUUAAAAGUACUUUUUACUGAAUUUUGUUCCCAUUAAUUUCUAUAAGAUUUGGUUUUGUGUCGAAGCUGUAACCAUGUUGGAAAGAAAACUCAUAGUAAGUUUGGGGAAACAGCAAUGUUUUAUACAUGUCUCAACUGAAUGGUGGUACCUGGAGAGUAUAUGUUUCCCUCAUUUUUGAGUCACAGGCUGUCUGAUAUAGCGCAUGUUUUGUAUAGAAGUAUCAGCCUUAGUCUUCUAAUGGCCCAAAGUUCCAGCUGUAGGUUGCUGACCAUAAAGUUGUUAUUCUUCCCUGGCUGUGAUCGUAAUAAUCCUGUAAAUCAGGCCGCUUUCCCAGGAACUUUGUUCAGCGGUUGGAUUUGCCUGGUGAUGCCUGGUUCCCAAGCUGAGGCUACAUACUCAAGAGUGUCUUGUAUAUUUUUGAGCAGGCAGAGGACAGGUUUUCAAUAUCAUAGGAAGCUGAGGGUCCGAUUUGCUAUCUAUAAAAUGGUUUCAUAGGUCCCGAUUGCAUUAAUCUUACAGUUUCUGGGUUGUGUCUAUGAGGGGAAUACUCUGCAUUGAUGAUUUUAUUCAUCCACAAUAUCUGGAUCAUACCAAAUUUCUUUGGGUGAACCCAUGUCCCUGAUGAUCCAGCAAUAACAGUCCCCCUGGAGUUUAGCAAGUCCUCCACUUUGAAAAACCAGCAGUCCUCCGCCAAACGCUGGCCUCGGGAUCUGCCAUCUCCUGGAGUUCGUUUAUGAGAGAGAAAAGUGCAGGGAACCAGUAACUGAACCAUGGGGUACUGCCGUUAUAGGACAGCUGCUUUUGUAGAAGUUUGUUUUUCAGUUCCACCUGAAUCUUGCAUGAUUCUUGGUAAUAGAAACCAUGCCGACUGUAAAAUGGCAUGAUUAAUCAACUUACAGAUUACCUCUGUCUUAAAUUCAUGAGGAGUAAUAAUAUAAAUUUUACAAUUCAGCUUAUUAACGUGAAUGUUUUGUAUGCGAGGGUUUUUGAUGACUGAAAUACUCUGUCUUCUGCAUAUAUCGUAGAUUGUGAUUACUGUUAUCUUUCAGGAGAUUUCUUGUUCAUUAAAUAGAAAUUUGAUGUUAUUUAAUAUCGCCAAUUAAAAUAUACGCAACAAUGAACUCACAAUCGAAAGUUUGUUUCCAAUGUAAGGAAAUGUGUAUGGAAAACAUCUACUUGACGUUAUUUCUGAAUUGAAAUCAAGGAAAUAUGAAUACCAGUUAUGUACAGGUAAUCAUGUAUUUAUUUUUGGUUUAUAGAAAUACAUUUACUGUAUAGAAAGUGUACCUAACGCUUGUAUUCAUGUGCUAUAUCAUUAUCAUGUAUCAAUUGAAUGUCAGUCAUUUUGUAGUCAAAUAUAAUCAUUAAGUUAUUCUUCUGACAGAAUCUCUCCAACACAUACAUGUUGAAUACAUGUUGGUUAAUGAAAUUCCAUUUCAAAAGACACUCAUUUUGUACUUUUCUGCAUGAUGUUAAUUUCAUUUCCGUCUUGUAAGGUAAUGUUUGAGUCAAAGGUAGAGUUGCCUCCCUUCGUAUAUGUCUUCACUGGAGGCGUAAGUAUAAUGGGCCAUAACAGAGAAUAAUGUGCAUAUCUAGCCAUCUUCUUGGAAAACAAGGAAAAUAAAGGUAACUGUUUAAGCAUGAAA
rnacentral:misc_RNA from 1 species